AUACGUAGGGUGCAAGCGUUAAUCGGAAUUACUGGGCGUAAAGCGUGCGCAGGCGGUUUUGUAAGACGGAUGUGAAAUCCCCGGGCUCAACCUGGGAACUGCAUUCGUGACUGCAAGGCUAGAGUAUGUCAGAGGGAGGUGGAAUUCCGCGUGUAGCAGUGAAAUGCGUAGAGAUGCGGAGGAACACCGAUGGCGAAGGCAGCCUCCUGGGAUAAUACUGACGCUCAUGCACGAAAGCGUGGGGAGCAAACAGGAUUAGAUACCCUGGUAGUCCACGCCCUAAACGAUGUCAACUAGUUGUCGGGUCUUAAUUGACUUGGUAACGCAGCUAACGCGUGAAGUUGACCGCCUGGGGAGUACGGCCGCAAGGUUAAA
rnacentral:rRNA from 1 species